GUGGGGAAUAUUGGACAAUGGGCGAAAGCCUGAUCCAGCCAUGCCGCGUGUGUGAAGAAGGUCUUCGGAUUGUAAAGCACUUUAAGUUGGGAGGAAGGGCAGUAAGUUAAUACCUUGCUGUUUUGACGUUACCGACAGAAUAAGCACCGGCUAACUUCGUGCCAGCAGCCGCGGUAAUACGAAGGGUGCAAGCGUUAAUCGGAAUUACUGGGCGUAAAGCGCGCGUAGGUGUUUUUGUAAGUUGGAGGUGAAAUCCCCGGGCUCAACAUUGGAACUGCCUCCAAAACUGCAUGACUAGAGUACGGUAGAGGGUAGUGGAAUUUCCUGUGUAGCGGUGAAAUGCGUAGAUAUAGGAAGGAACACCAGUGGCGAAGGCGACUACCUGGACUGAUACUGACACUGAGGUGCGAAAGCGUGGGGAGCAAACAGGAUUAGAAACCCCUGUAGUCC
rnacentral:rRNA from 1 species